UCUCUAAGAUUAUAGCCGGUUGGCGGU
rnacentral:piRNA from 1 species